CAAGGAUCCGAAGAGGAAAGAUCAAGUUUUGAGUGGAAUCCGCCAAGUUGCAGGCUCGGGAAACUGGUUCAAAGCGCUGUGCUCUUCUUGGCUGUCGGGCCCUGGGACAAUGUUCAGGAUGAGGACAGAAGGCAGAAGAGAGUCCUGAGGACUCCAGAGAUGUCCUCUCCUCCUCCUCCUCUGCUCCCUCAGCAUUUGUGAGAAAGCGGCACUGGACAUGACGCUCCGUGCUGUGUAAUGCUGGGUUCUCUCUUUGUCCGGAACACUUCCAAGGAAAGCCAGCCACGGAACUAGGUUUGGACACCUGAAGCUAGUGACGGGAGAGAAGGGGCAAUGGGUGGAGGGAGCGCCAGGCACUCGCAGCCACUGUGUCCCCUCCCAGCUGGCCUCCCAGGUACUUGCUGGGACUGUCCAGCAGGAGUAUGGCUUUCACUUUUAAAAAACCAAGUCUGAGAAAUCCAAGCUUAGGACAAACCAAAAUGAGGACAAAGGGACUCACAAGAUGUGUAAGGAGAUUCUUUGCUAAGGACUUCUGCUGGCGCCCAUCUGGUGUGUAAUCGGGCACCCUUGGGUGUGGGGAUGCAGGGUAACUGGAGGUGAGUCCUUUAACAGGAAAGCUCUUCGGUAGACCCGCAGUGCUAUAACCAUCCUGAGCGUUGCCGAGAUGAGCAAUAGGCCUAAAAUGUGGGGUCCCCCAGGGAAGAAAUUUCUCAGAUUCCACUAUUUAAGGAUUUUAACCUCUCCCUCUAGGACAAUCACCGCAAAUCAGAGAUAAAAAUUCCCAGCUGAUCACUUGACUCCUCCCUCUCCUUCCGUUUCUGGGCGCUCCUGAGUGCUGAGGAUGGUUUUAGGAGCCAGUCCCUCGUCCCCCCGCACCUCCUCUUCAGUUAAAUCACAAAAAUGGUCAUUAUAGGGUCACAGAUCUUUGCACACACACAAAAAAGUUUGGGGAACGGUUUUUCUUCAAAAUUUUAAUCCAUGAGGGAUUAAGAACAACCUCACUUUAUGAGACCAGAAUGUUUAAAUGGAGCCAGUGUUCUAGAAACUUAGCAAAGUGAUGUAAGACAUGAAACAAAAUGAUACGUCUGUCUUUUUUCCUUCCUGGGCAAGGUGCAUCUCAGCACUGGUGUCCUGCGGCUUUGCAGACCUGCAUGGUGAGUAUGUGUUUUGGCUAUUAUUUCUAUGUAAGAAAAAUGAAUGAACAAUUCCAUCUCCUUGUUGCCUGCUGUCAGGAGACCGUUCACAAUCCGGCCCUACCCAGAAAGCCAAGAACGGGAAGGCUUCAGAGGGGGGUUAGAAUGCCUCCAUGCAGUAUCUACAUCUGAAAGGCAGCCAUUCAGCCGGAAGAAAUGACAGGCAGGACAGCCCCAGGCCGCCAGACCUCCCACAGGCUUUUCUUGUUCAGGAAAGCCUGGAUGAAUGGUUUCUUUGCAGACGCAGCUGCCUGGGUCCCAAGGUGAGUCAAAUAACAUCCCUUCCCUCAUAGAUCAGGUGGUGGUUUGCGAGAGCACAUGCGUCCCCUCCACCAAGAUCUGCAUUCCUACCGCGUGCCAGGUGGUUUCUGGAGAGAGGGAGCAAGUCCAGAUGCCUGACUAUGGGCAACCGCUCAGAGGUGGUGUCAUUUGAGCUGAGACUGAAAUGGACACUCAGUUAUGAGCAAAUCUGGGGGAACAAAGUUCUAGACAGAGGACACGGCCAACGGGAAGAUGUGUGGUAAUGAGCUUGACCAUCUCUAAGAAGGGAAGGAAGCGUAGGAGAUCCUUUCCUGGGGGAAAUUCUACAGUGGGGUGACAGGACCAAAAGUUAUAGACAUCUUUAUGGCUCUUGAUAUACAUUACUGGAUUGUUUUCCAA